CUUCGUAAGGCUCCAAAACUGGAUUGCUCAAUUAAGUUUCCACUGACACCUGCAAAUACAGCAUGGCAGAGGUUCAUUCUGAUUGCCAGAGACAGUUUCAGGCAGCUGUCUCAGUCAUCCAGGCCUUGCCAAAAAAUGGUGCUUACCAUCCGUCCCAUGAGAAGAUGUUGAAGUUUUACAGUUACUACAAGCAGGCAACUGUAGGCCCAUGUAGUAUUAGCAGGCCUGGCUUCUGGGAUCCUAUUGGACGUGUAAAAUGGGACGCAUGGAAAGCUCUGGGGAACUUGUCAAAAGAAGAAGCCAUGAUGACUUAUGUCGAAGAGAUAAAGAAAACAGCACAGGAGGUUAUUGAUUCGAUGUCAGGGACAGAGAAUGAGGAGCAGCACUUCCACCUGUUUCAUCCACUAUAUGAAGUUGUUGAAGAUAUGCCCAGACCUCCAUCUUUCUUCCAUAAGAAGGUGUCAGGUGAAGAUACUGAAACUCCCCUGACGUCGACUCCAUGUGUUGUAAUGAAUGGUGUGCUGAGCAACCAUGAUAGCAACUUGGUAUCAGAGGAUUUGAAUGAUGAGGACAAAGGCCUUGUAACAAACAAAAAAAUAGUUCGAUUUCAGGAGAAUGAGAUCAGCCAAAAUGGUGACAAUAACAGUGAGGCACAUCAGGCCAAAGGCAUUUGUUCAGAAAAUGGUGAUCAUCCAGAGCUAGGGAUCUCUCAAUUGGACACAAUAGAGGAAACCAUGGAGAGACUGCAAGUUCAGGAAAAUCUCUUGAAGCUUCAUGACAGUACAGACAAUGCUGGCAACAAUUACACAGUGGAAAUAGCUGAUCCGAAUCAUUGUACAAGCGAUUCAGAAAGUGAAGUGUUCUGUGAUUCUGUGGAAGAACUGGACCAUGAGAGGAUCUCAGCAAUUGAGAGCAGCAUGGCUCUUGCAGAGCAUUCCCGAGAUUCGCAGAACUUACAGGAUGUUGGGUCCACGGUAAUGCUGUGCAGUGCUAAUGUUUCCACUUGUACACCAGAUGCUUACCAAAACACAUCUGACAAUUUCCCUCCAAACCAAGAGACACAUGAAUGGGCAACUAAUGGUGGUGGAGGGAUUGCACUGGUCGGAGGAAACAAUAAGAAGAAAAAGAUAACAUUUACAAAUCCCUUGUCUGAAUGGCUGACUGAGGGGAAAGGGCUGCAACAAGUUCAAACUGGAACCUCAUGGAGACCAAGAAGCAGCCCUGGCAGCAACAAAGAGGACAACGAAAGAAGGGGACACGGAGAAAAAACUGUGAUCACUGUCAAUGAUAAUAUUGUGAGAAUUCUUCAUCAUCUAGAAGAGGACAUCCAGUCUGCAUUACAGAGACUCAGUAGGCUGGAAGACCUGACAAUGUCACAGGUGCAAACAGCUGGUCUGCAACCUCCUCAGUUGAAAAUAUCCAGGCAUAAGAGAGUUUCCAGGUGGCUGGUUGGUCCAUCCGGACGUACAUGGCUGUUUCUAAUUGUGUGGCCUUUCAUUGCUCAGUGGAUAGUGCAUGUUUUUCUUCGCAGAAGAAGGAGUUGAACAUCUGUGAAACAGGAGAUUUGCAGAGAAAGAUACUUCCAAUACAUCAGACCUACCUAACUUAAGGAACAUGGCUACUGGACGCAAGAAAAUAAUUGGAGAAAGGACUGUAACAGAGGUGGGAUUUUCCAGAGGAGGAGUUUUCUUGCGGACAUGAGCAUUGUGAGGUUUCAAUGGGGAGUGAUCUACGUGCAGCCUCAUGUAUCUUCCAGAAUACAGACCUCAAUGAAACAACUGGAUACAGUCUAAUCAGUUUGAUGCAUGUCAACAUAUGUGAAUCAGAAACCAAACAGAGUAGCAUACCAAGAAGAUGGGAGCAAUUAUCCCAACCUGCUUUCUAAAACCUGAUCUAUUGCUACCUCUUUAAUAUAUUACUCGCACUCCCAUUUCGUUAUGUUAUUUUAUGUUCUACACCUCCAUCUUACGUGCUGCCCUUCCAACAGCCAAAUGCAAUAUAAAGGCUCAAAUGAUUCCUCCUAACAGACAAGAACAUGAUUGGAAAUCUUUGACUGUUAACAUUUGUCAUUUUUAUAGUGGUUUAAUGGAUGCAGUGCAAUGUGGAAUGUUAAACACAUGCUGGCAUCUUUCAGAAUGCACAUAAGUUUAACAUUUGUAAUUUCUGGCAGUGAAGUUUUGGCACACUUCAUUUAAUCCAUAAUGUGUCCCUAGAUUACAGUCAAUGGCUCCUCAUGAAUUUGCUUCAGUUGAUGGAAAUCCAGUAUUUGGCUUUCCAUUAAAACAGUCAUGAGGAAAAUGAGUUAUUGUACUUAAUCCAUUUCCAGUUUCACAAGAAAUCAAAUUUGACUUGACAACCCCAAUCCCAUUGGUGCAAUGAAGAUGCUUCCUCAUACAGUCUUGUUGGGUGAAGUUUGACUGAUCGAGAAGACUUAGAUCUUUUGUAUUGUGAAACUGCAAGGAUUCAAAUUUAAACUAAUCCACUUUAAUCAUUUUUGGUGCUGUUCACUUUUGCCAUAUUGGUUUCACUACAUUCUUGAUCAGUGCUCCUGCUUAGACCUCGCAUAAAUGUAAUGGUUUUCCACUGUUCACGAGCUGUUAAUGUUUAAGUCAUUAUCCAUAUAGCUUUCGAAAUUAACAAUACUUUCUACGAAUUCUGGGAGCAGUAUUUGUCUUUAGAAAUAUAAUAUUCUUAAUGAUGGAAAUGUAUUCAAAGGCUUGCAAACAAAACUGAUGUCAGUUCCUAUUUUUGCUAGACUUGGAUCUAUGUCCAACCCGAAUGGAAUGACUGAGGCGAGUAACCUUUCUGGGGAUGUCCACUCAACACUGCAUUGCUUUUUGAGUCUUCAAAAUAUUUAACCACUAAUGACCAGGUUAAUUAUUUCAAAAUAAGAUGCCGGUCAGAAGGUGGAAUAUUAGCUGGGAAUUUGUCAAUGUUCCUGAUAUUGAAACUGGAAUGGUGGCACUUUGACUUUCUUUUUGCUUUAUCUCAUGUGAUCAGAAUUAAAAUUCGAAGUGUCAGCAGUAUGAAUAAAAAUCAUAAUUCAGUUUAUCAGCCGAGAAGCUUUUUAAUCUGAAAGGUAACAUCAACUGACAAUGCUACAUCUACAGGAAACCGCAUCUAGGCUUUUAUGUAAGAUUGGAGAGCACAACGGUGCCAGUAGUGCUUUCCAAACUUAAAUUUAACUUUUAAAUAAUUCAUUUUAGAUUGGUUUAGCUUUAUUCAUGUGUGUAUCAUCGUUAUUUCUCAAAUGGAAAGCUAAAAGCACUGGCAAGCAUCAUAGUUAGCAUGAAAUGUCACAUGGCAUUCUCUUUACUGUGCAGGAAAUAGUAUUGUGUGUUUGUGUUCAUUCUUCAUUGAAUAUGUAUAUUAUUUUUCAGUAUUAAACUUACCACUACAGGAUAUUGCUGAACUUGAUCAACAGGCUUUCCCUUCAAUGCAUUUUAAAAGGCAUUGUCUGAAAUCACACUGUGGUGUAAUUGAAAUGUUGCAGAUUAGCCCAGAGCCCUGUAAGGACUCUGCCAGUGAACACCCUGAAAUGUGACCAUAAUUAGACAGGUACUGACAAUGCAUUUUAGGCACCUUAUUUUCUUGCCUCGACUGACUGUUUUCCCCCGUCACACCAGGACACUAGGUUCUUCUUACUUCACUCCUCUGCACGUGCAAACCCCUCAUCAUUGAAAUACCCUGACCAGUCCUGAGUGAAUUGUCCUGACACCUUUCUUGUGUCGUAGAGUUGGAGAAGAAAAAACACUAAAGAAAGAAAUGCGCAGACACAAUAACUACAUUCACUGUCUGAUGAGUUCCAUCCAUUGCAGAGAUCACAGUUAUGUCGCCCAGUCACCCAGCAUGAAUUUCAGAAAGUUAUGCCUCCAUUGGCCUUAAUUUUUUGUUACAAGUUUCCUAGUGAACUGCAAAAUUGAAGUGUGAGGAAGCUUUGCAAUUAAUUUAUGGAAAAUUGCAGCACAGUGUUUAAUGGCAUUUUCUUGCCCUAGAAUGAAACCUGAAGUGAUCACCUUGUAACAUUCAAGAUUACUAAAUCAGCUUUAACAAUUGGUGUAAACUGGAUUUCGGUGUAAACUGGAUUUCGGUGCCUACUGUACAGUUCCAGAGGUAGAAUAGAAAUGGUUGGAGCUACCUGAGCUUUUCAAUUCCUGACUGAUGAAAUUUGUGCAUUUUUCCUAUGAAAAUUAUUAUACAGUAUAAAAGAUUACCCUCCUUGAGCAACUUACCUAUGUCUGAACUUACAGUUUAAUGCGUACCUUAUCAUAAUCCAUUUUGUCCCUCAGCCAUGACAAGUUCAUAACUAUCUAAGAUUCAGAGGGAGAGAGAAAUAAAUAACCUGAGUGGAUGUAUGUGCCUCUUACCACAAUGGCUUUGAUCAGAGAAUAACCGUCUAUUCUCAUUUAAAAGUUGUCAUCAAGAUCCUUAUAAUGGUCAAUAUAGAAGAACAUUUGCAUGCUAGCCAGAGUAACAUCAAGACCCAACCCUCCUUAUGUGAUUAGGCAGCAAUUGAUUUAUAGAAGAUAAAGCUUUUUUUUGUUAUUGUCUUUAAAUGUGUGUGUGUAGAGUACUGGGCAGAUGUUCACUCCUGUCAUAGAUGGAGAUGUGUAUGUUUGUUCCACACCAUUUACUGGUGUUUCUAUAUGAAACUUAAUAAAAUACUGACAUCUGAACUUGUGUGGCCCCUAAGGUCGGGAGAGUAACUUCUAUCUAAUUGAUAAAAGUAACAGUAUGCUCUGAUAUUUUCAGUCUAAGAAUGGUUAGACUGUAAUUUAUGGAAACGCUCCACUUUUCACUUAUAAGUAGGAGACGGAUUACUGAUUGCACUGAAUGUCCUGUUUCUGUCCUUUGUAUGCUGUGCUUUUCCUUUUGAAACAUGUUUUACUAUACCCAACCUAGCUAUAACUUUUCAUUAUUCUAAGUCAUCUUCUUUUUAAUGCGUUAUCUCAAAUCUUGGAAUGUUGUUGCUAGCCCCAUUCAGUUAAAAGCCUCAAAUCACUUUCUCUUUCCUCCCCCUGCCCACCUUCCCCUAGAUUACAGACAUUUCUUCAACUGUCUGCUGAGCAGAGAUUUCGAUUCAUUCCAUAGACAUGCAGAUUAUCAGGCUGUAGGAAGGCCCCUCCCUAUUCAAUGGAAUUUCAAGUUGUCCAUGAUGCUGAAUAUUAGCCAGGCAAUUCUUGGUGAAAGGGAAGGGGAAACCCAUCUGAUGGUUUACAUGUGUUACGACUAGAUGAGAAGGGGUCAACCUCCCUGGUUGCCCACAAGAUUCAAUUAUCCUUUUAACACAUGGCUAUACCUCUGUUAACUACAUUUUUAUAAACUAAACUACCAAAAAAUGAAGAAGGAUCCAAUUAAAAAGUUUCCUUGAGUGAAAGGAAAAGGACUUUUAUUAAUUAAUAAUCCCAAGUAGAAAAAUAAAGACUUUAACAUCAACUUGUUCCAAAAAGAAGUACCUAAUUAGAAAGGGGGAUAAUGUCAAAUACAAAAGGGAAGAUCAAAGAAUAUGCAGUGUUAAGGAUGACCCUGGAGUAGUUAGGUGUUAAUCUGAGACCAUGGUUGGUUUGUGGUGUCCAGGAUCAGCAGCAGCUGUGAAUAUUGCAGAUAACUUUUAAAUUCAUGGUUUUGGAUGUUUCUUGAAAUUAGUGUUGUCCUUUCUGAGCGAGCAGAGUGAGCAUCCCCCCCCCCCCCUUUACCCUGCUGCAUUCAAUUCCAGGUAUAAGUCUUCUUGUCUGCUCUGCCAAAACAGUUGAAA